CAAAGAAGUGAUCCAUUGGGAGCCAUGCGGAGGAAUGCUGACAGGAGCCCACAGACACAAACAACUGGCCUCAAAAGCCUUUGGAAUGGUGUUAAUCCUGCUCCUACCUGACAAGGCCAUAUGGAACUGACCGGACACCUAAGCACACAUGAGGAACGCGCGGACUCCCCACAGAAGGUGUGCCAGGCCAGAAUAAAAAAAC